rnacentral:lncRNA from 10 species
CAGAGUUUUCGCUCUUGUUGCCCAGGCUGAAGUACAAUGGUGUGAUCGUGGCUCACCGCCAACCUCUGCCCCCCAGGUGUUUGGGGACCUGUAAGUAGAGCCACAUCAGAAGGACAGUUCUUUUAUGGCAAAAUCAAAAGAUUUCUACUAAAGAAGACUCUGGGAGAAGGCCAGCACGAUUUUACAUUGGAGAUUCCUCUUCAGCUCUGAGGAAAGAAAAACGAUAGAGAUGGAGCUAGGCAGCAAGAAGCAGAUGGAAAUGGGUAGAGAGAAGUAAUAUGUUCUCUUCCUGAGUGGAAAAUGUUGGGCAUUUACUGUUACAAAUUUCUCCCACGUACAACUUUAGCGUGAUGCAAGUUCCCAAGACCAUCUCUAGGUUCAAUGAUUCACCAGGAGGACCCACAGGACUCAGCAUAUAUUCACGCUCCUGUCUGCGGUUUAUUACAGCCAAAGUGAGAGGUGAAGAUGGUUGGGCUUCUGGGUCGGGUGGGGACUUGGAGAACUUUUCUGUCUAGCUAAAAGAUUUUAAACACACCAAUCAGCACUCUGUGUCUAGCUAAAGGUUUGUAAAUGCACCAAUCAGCACUCUGUAAAAACGGACCAAUCAGCACUCUGUAAAAUGGACCAAUCAGCAGGAUGUGGGUGGGGCCAAAUAAGGGAACAAAAGCUGGCCACCUGAGCCAGCAGUAGCAACCUGCUCAGGUCCCAUUGCGUGGAAGCUUUGUUCUUUCGCUCUUCACAAUAAAUCUUACUGCUGCUCAUUCUUUGGGUCCGCACUACCUUUAUGAGCUGUAACACUCACCACAAGGGUCUGUGGCUUCAUUCCUGAAGUCAGCGAGACCACGAACCCACCGGGAGGAACAAACAACUCCAGAUGCACCACCUUUAAGAGCUGUAACACUCACUGCGAAGGUCUGCAUCUUCACUCCUGAAGUCAGCAAGACCAUAAAACCACUGGAAGGAAGAAACUCCAGGCACAUCUGAACAUCUGAAGGAAAAAAUUCUGGACACACCAUCUUUAAGAACUGUAACACUCACCACGAGGGUCCACAGCUUCAUUCUUGAAGUCAGUGAGACCAAGAACCCACCGGAAGGAACCAAUUCUGGACACAAAAGGAUAGCAAAGGGAAAAG